UCUCCUUCUCUUUCCUCCCCUUCUCAUCAUCUUUUUCUGUAUCCUUUUUUGCCCUCUCCUGCUCAUCGUCCUCCCUCUUCUUUUUCCUCCUCAACCUCCUUCCUUCUCCUCAUACGCUUUCUUCUCUCUUCCUUUGCUCUAUUGCUUCCUCUUAUUUCUCCUCCUCAUUUCUUCUGUCUCUUUCUCCUCUCCUACUUUUUUC
rnacentral:lncRNA from 1 species